AUUGAACGCUGGCGGCAUGCCUUACACAUGCAAGUCGAACGGUAACAGGUCCUUCGGGAUGCCGACGAGUGGCGAACGGGUGAGUAAUAUAUCGGAACGUGCCCAGUAGUGGGGGAUAACUGCUCGAAAGAGCAGCUAAUACCGCAUACGACCUGAGGGUGAAAGGGGGGGAUCGCAAGACCUCUCGCUAUUGGAGCGGCCGAUAUCAGAUUAGCUAGUUGGUGGGGUAAAGGCCUACCAAGGCAACGAUCUGUAGUUGGUCUGAGAGGACGACUAGCCACACUGGGACUGAGACACGGCCCACACGCCUACGGGAGGCAGCAGUGGGGAAUUUUGGACAAUGGGCGCAAGCCUGAUCCAGCAAUGCCGCGUGCAGGAAGAAGGCCUUCGGGUUGUAAACUGCUUUUGUCAGGGAAGAAAUCUUCUGGGCUAAUACCCCGGGAGGAUGACGGUACCUGAAGAAUAAGCACCGGCUAACUACGUGCCAGCCGCCGCAGUAA
rnacentral:rRNA from 1 species